GAGUGGGCGCCGGGGCCUCGGCUCCGACGCCCUCUCACACCCGCUGCCGCGCGCCCCAGCCUCGGGCUCCGCGCGGCGUGACCGCUCCUCGGGUUUGGAGAGAAAGGUGACGGAAGGGUCAGAACCCUGGCGAGAACGCCCCGCCGCCCACACUCACCUGAGGGCGCGCGGACGGAAAUAGGAUGUGUGGAGACGAAUCGGGAGCUUAAGCCUGGCCCCGUCCCCAAAGCUGCAGACCAGGGCAGUGCAAAGACCGAAAACUCUAUGCAUGGAAAAUGUCUGUGAGCUCCAAUGAAUGUUCAUAUAUGCUCCAGGAGAACAUGGAUGGCCUAGAAAUGGGUUCGGCAUAAACUCAUUUUGCCCCUCGAGCCCUAUAUGACUGCUUCUCCAUUUCUCAGCCUCUGCCUCUCCAUCCCUGGGGCUGGGCUCACCUCCAUGUGUUUCUCUUCACCCUGGGAUCUUGAUCCUUCGGGUCGUGGCUUUCUGGUUGCUGAUUCCAGGACAAAUCAGACCUUGUUCCUGACCUCCAACUGCUUAGUCUCAAGAAGAGGGAAGGAAAAUAAAGAGACCAACAUAAUACAGUGUGAAGAGCGCAGCAGUGGUCCAACUUCAGUUCAUGAACUCAGAGAGUGAGUUCCUUCCUACACUCCGGCCAUGCACCAUACACUUCUCAACUGAAGGACAUGUGACCCGGGCCAAUCAGCAUGUCCCAGCUCUCCAGUGAAAUGCAGUGAUUGGUUCAGGGAUUGGCAUGUGACCCAGACUGAUCCAACGAGAGUUAGCCCUGGAAAUUUGGCUGGAAUUCUUGCCAACAAUCCUGUCUUUUCUUCUGGGGUUGCUGAGCUGGUGAAAUGGAAGUGCUGUUGGUGCUGACAGACCUCCUUGCCACCAAGGGGGGGAAAGGCUGCCUGAGAAUAAAUCCAGCACUUGAGUAAACAGAGACAAAAGAAAGAGAGCCCUUUUCCUGAUUAUAUUGCUUGGGCUCCUAGAUCCAGCCAUGCCUGAAGACUAACCUCUACUUUUCACUUUGGUGAAACAAUGGCUUCUCUUCUUGGGAUAAUUCUACUUGGGUUGGGCUUUUUGUCACUUUUAGCUGAAAGAUUUCACAUGACUAUAGGCUCCCCUGAAAAGCUUAAUAUAGGUAUAGAGCUUUUGUUAGGGAUGACAUAAACAUUCUAGAAAUGGAUAGUGGUGAUGGUUGCACACAUUGUAUAUGUACUUAAUGCCAUUAAGUUGUAUACUUUAAAGUGAUUAAAAUGGUAACUUUUA